rnacentral:rRNA from 1 species
AUUGAACGCUGGCGGCAGGCCUAACACAUGCAAGUCGAGCGAGCGGAGGACGGGUGAGUAAUGUAUGGGGACUGCUAGAUAGAGGGGGAUAACUACUGGAAACGGUAGCUAAUACCGCAUACUAUCGGAUAACCCAUAGGGGAUUAGCUAGUAGGUGAGGGAAUGGCUCACCUAGGCAACGAUCCCUAGCUGGUCUGAGAGGCGGAUACGCCACACUGGCACUGAGACACGGCCCAGACGCCUACGGAGGCAGCAGUGGGGAAUAUUGCACAAUGGGCGCAAGCAUGAUGCAGCCAUGCCGCGUGUAUGAAGAAGGCCCUAGGGUUGUAAAGUACUUUCAGUCGGGAGGCGUUACCGACAGAAGAAGCACCGGCUAACUCCGUGCCAGCAGCCGCGGUAAUAC